UGACCAUCAGGCCUGUCUUGUUCUGUGAAUAGCAGUCCCUCUGACAGGGGAACCUGUGCCAUCAUCUUGGUUGGCUCGAUGACUCUCAUACCAUCAUUCUGUGCAACAUGUCUGUUUACUUGUAUAGGCACCUUGCAACGCACGGCUAUAUUAAUGGCAUCUGAUGGUCGGAGAUCAAAGCUCAUGUAAUCCUUCUCAUUGCCAACCUUAGAAAGAUACAGUUUCGCAAAAUAUGCCUCAUGCACUCUUUUGGUGACUCGGACAAGUCGUACCUCAUAGCCCAUCUUAUCAAUCAUCUCUUGCACCACUUGAUAAAUUGUUGGCCUUGCAAUUUGGACAUUGCGAACUGCAGCCAUCAGCAGGAUGCUCGGCAUCUCCAAAACAAUAAUAGGAAGUAAAAGAUCGCUCCCAUCUUCCAUCUUCAGUACAAUAGCAGGAUGUGGGGCAUAG
rnacentral:misc_RNA from 1 species